CUCAGAGUUAAGUGACGAUAGCCUAGGAGAUACACCUGUUCCCAUGCCGAACACAGAAGUUAAGCCCUAGUACGCCUGAUGUAGUUGGGGGUUGCCCCCUGUUAGAUACGGUAGUCGCUUAGC
rnacentral:rRNA from 1 species